rnacentral:rRNA from 1 species
UACGUAGGGGGCAAGCGUUGUCCGGAUUUAUUGGGCGUAAAGAGCUCGUAGGCGGUUUGGUAAGUCUGGUGUGAAAUCUCCACGCUCAACGUGGAGGGGCCACCCGAUACUGCCAUGACUGGAGUCCGGUAGAGGAGUGUGGAAUUCCCGGUGUAGCGGUGAAAUGCGCAGAUAUCGGGAGGAACACCCGUAGCGAAGGCGGCACUCUGGGCCGGUACUGACGCUGAGGAGCGAAAGCUGGGGGAGCAAACGGG